GAAAUGCGAUAAUUAAUGUGAAUUGCAGAAUUCAGUGAAUCAUCGAGUCUUUGAACGCACAUUGCGCCCCCUGGUAUUCCGGGGGGCAUGCCUGUCCGAGCGUCAUUGCUGCCCUCAAGCACGGCUUGUGUGUUGGGCUUCCGUCCCUGGUAACGGGGACGGGCCCAAAAGGCAGUGGCGGCACCAUGUCUGGUCCUCGAGCGUAUGGGGCUUUGUCACCCGCUCCCGUAGGUCCAGCUGGCAGCUAGCCUCGCAACCAAUCUUUUUAACCAGGUUGACCUCGGAUCAGGUAGGGAUACCCGCUGAACUUAAGC
rnacentral:misc_RNA from 1 species